rnacentral:rRNA from 1 species
GUAGGUGGAAAGCGUUGUCCGGAAGUAUUGGGCGUAAAGGGCGCGCAGGCGGUCUUUUAAGUCUGAUGUGAAAGCCCACGGCUCAACCGUGGAGGGUCAUUGGAAACUGGGGGACUUGAGUGCAGAAGAGGAAAGCGGAAUUCCACGUGUAGCGGUGAAAUGCGUAGAGAUGUGGAGGAACACCAGUGGCGAAGGCGGCUUUCUGGUCUGUAACUGACGCUGAGGCGCGAAAGCGUGGGGAGCAAACAGG